rnacentral:rRNA from 1 species
ACGCACGCUGGCGGCGUGCUUAACACAUGCAAGUCGAACGGAAAGGCCCUGCUUUUGUGGGGUGCUCGAGUGGCGAACGGGUGAGUAACACGUGAGUAACCUGCCCUUGACUUUGGGAUAACUUCAGGAAACUGGGGCUAAUACCGGAUAGGAGCUCCUGCUGCAUGGUGGGGGUUGGAAAGUUUCGGCGGUUGGGGAUGGACUCGCGGCUUAUCAGCUUGUUGGUGGGGUAGUGGCUUACCAAGGCUUUGACGGGUAGCCGGCCUGAGAGGGUGACCGGCCACAUUGGGACUGAGAUACGGCCCAGACUCCCACGGGAGGCAGCAGUGGGGAAUAUUGCACAAUGGGCGGAAGCCUGAUGCAGCAACGCCGCGUGCGGGAUGACGGCCUUCGGGUUGUAAACCGCUUUCGCCUGUGACGAAGCGUGAGUGACGGUAAUGGGUAAAGAAGCACCGGCUAACUACGUG